rnacentral:sRNA from 1 species
GGUGGGCAUGGUGGGGCAUACCUGUAAUCCCAGCAUCUUGGGAGGCUGAGACAGGAGGAUUGUGAGUUCAAAGCCAGCCUCAGCAAAAAGCAAGGUGCUAAGCAAUUCAGUGAGACCCUGUCUCUA